UUCCAGGCCUUCUUGGAGUCCCUUGUCCACUCUUAACAUGGCUAAUCACAUUCCUAUAGUAAGUGCCCGCAUUUCCAGAUGAUGCAGCAGGAGGAUUCCCAUCCGAUGGCCAGCCAGUUUCCGACACAACAAUGUUUACAUUAGAACCACCUUCUUUUUCUAGAGCUGAAUAAUGAGCAUCCAAAAUUGCAUCAAAAAUGUUUCGAUAUCCAAACGAGCCAUCUUGAACAACAAUUCUUUGUGAGGUGAAUAAUGCAUAAUCUAGAUGAAUGUUGACUGGAUCACCGAUAUAGCUGAAGUAGGGAUACACAUUGACUAGCAAUGGUGCAUUAUUUUGGACUAGAAGAUUAAUUAUAGGUUUAAUGAAGCGUUUAGCCUCGUUUGAAAAUGAUCCUUGUGAGGGAGGAGAAGAAACGCUUAGCAGAUUUGCAGCUAUUGAUGUUGAAACCUUGAUUUGGUUCUGAAGCCCCGCCGAUGCUAAUGCACUUUGUAUCCUUUCCAUGGCUGGACCGACAUAUUGAGCAAUGCUAGAACUUAAUGGUACUUCAUUUCCAACUGCUAUGUACCUAAACUUCACAGCUGGUGAGUAGUUUUUGAUGUUGUUUUGAACCCAAUUUGCCGCUGCCGAAGGAUUGGUCGCAAUGGAUGGAAUGUCUUCAUUGGCAACAUCAACUAGGAGUUCUAUAUUGGUUCCUCUUAGAGCAUUGAGAACUUCAUGGUCUGGGCCAUAAAUUCUCAUUCUUUGGAUGCCAUAUCUAUUGUAGAGAUUUAUGACGUCCUGUUUUGAUGGUAGCUUGUUGCCAUUUAGUCCAUAACAAACGCCUAUAGAUUGUACCCCUGCAUAAGAAUAGCUGUUCAUUUCACUUAGUGUUUAAAAACAAGUCUAUGUGAGACUUUGGGUCAUAUGAUUUGCAUGUGAUAACACUACCACAGUUUAAACAAAAGAUUCUUCAUUUUAAUUACAACUAAAACUUGGAAGGGUACGAAUCUGAAGUUGCAGCUUUAUGCAUGAGUUAUGAGUCUCACGUUAAACAAUCUAAAUAAGCGAAGAACCUAUGACAUGCAUGAAGAAAAUAAUGUAUGGUGAAAGAAAAGAAUUAUUUGUGUAAAGUGGUCUAGUUGAUAUACUGCAUAUUCACUUGCGGACUCAAGAGUCUAUGUGCUUAAAUAAUCCUGCAUGCAUGGUUAAAACUAUUAGAAAAAACAAAAGAUUAAUUCGUACAAAAUAAUAUAACUAGUCAAUUUCCAUAAACAUAUGAUGCAUGGAAACAAGCAAGGAACAUGUAAAGAGGUUAAGAUAUACCUGUGAUUUUAAGACUAACCAAAAACAACCCAAGCAAAGUCAGGAUAGUUGUCAUCAUACUUUUGUUGAUAAAUGGUACAGAAUAUAGCUGAGGGAAAUUGGAAGAAAAGAGCAAUAGAAUGGUUUGCGGAAGAAAGGUAUGAAAGAAUAGAGUGGCCAAGGUGCUUCUUAAAGGAAAAUAUUGUCGAUUUUUCCGGACGGUUGGCAGGCAUAAUUAAUUAAGCUUUGCCAAGUCAAUACUUCACAGUCCAAUACAUUGACGAAUUCUAUCACAAUUUUCUCAAGACUCUUACACAAUAUUUGGUAGCACUACAAUUUUUCUUUUAUGAAACUAUCCCUGUAUAUAUUGCCACUGAGAUUCAGGCAAUAUGUACAGGGAUGAUAUAUUGAGCGAUUAUGUUGUGUCUAGUUUCGUCCAAUUAUUGUAUAUGUUAGUACAAUCACAUUAUUUUGUUAUAUGAAAUAUAUGUGAGAUACUUUCUUUUUUAUACUAAAUAUUCCACUAGUAUAACAAUAUGAUUUGAUUGUACACAAUCAAAAGUGUAACUGCUCAACAUUUAUUGUUUAAGUUCAUACAAGUUUACUUAUUUGUUUGUGCAUACACCGGUUGACGACUAUAGAGUCCUUAAUCCACUUUAUAUCUCUAAAUUUAUAUCACUUUUUCACUUUGUGCCCUAAACUUAAAUUUUAGACACUUAACACCCUAAACUCUCAAGUUUUAUCCCAUUUUAGUCCAAUUAAUAAUUAAUUUUCCAAAAUUAACGAGAUAAAGAAUGGUAAAAAUUAAUGAAAAUAUACCAUUUUAUUCUAAUUACGAUGCCUUUGCUUUUCUGACCACUUUUAGCAUAUCAUCAUUGAUUUAUAUGAUUUCAAUUAUCAAUAUUGUUCGUAAAAUUAGCAAGAUAAAAGGUAAUGUAAAUUAAUGACAAUGUAUUAUUUUAUUUUUGCUAUGAAUUAGCACCUUAUGACUCCUGUCGGUACAUUGUCAUUGAUUCGCUGAGUCCUCUAUACCGUUAAUUUUGCUAACAUUGUUAUUGACUGGAUUAAUUGGAUAAAUUUGAGAGGAUGCAAAGUAUCCAAAAGUGAGAGUUUAGAGAGUAAAGUGUCUAAAAUUGAAAUUUACGAUUUAAAUUAGGAAAUGAUACAAGUUUAGAAGUACAUAGUGGAGUUAGUCCUCCCCAGUUAUGAGCUCUUAGCGCCCUUGACUGCAUGAACUUGACUUUAGUUUCAUUUGAGGGCUUUCAACGUCUUAUUAUUGUCUGUGGGAGUACUCCUGUCCCAGAUCAUGCUACUGGAAUAGAGAAUUUAAUCAGAUGGACCAGAGAUGUGGACCAGUUGAUUUUCAGUGUCUGCGAGCGUUGUUCACAUAUUUUCCGACCCAAGACAAGACCAUUGACUUCAUAUUUGCCCUCGUCAACUAAAAAUUGAUUGGCAUCCCCACUAAUUAAUUAUAAAGCUUAGAAAAAAAUAUUAAUGAUUCCAAACCCAAUUUUAAGUGCUCAAAGAAUAGUCUCUGGUGAUUGUAGAAAAGAUGCAAUCUAAUACUAACAUUCCAUGUGUACUCGUCAAGCCUGUGAUCCCCAGUGGACAGUUUAGCCAAUGAUUCUAGAAAUUCAAGAUAUAUAUUGGUCAACUUAGAAUUUUCCUGGGCAACUCAAAAUUUAAUAGUAGGGUUAAUUACAAUUAAUUCCUAUAAGGUAUACCUCAUUUCUCACUUUAUCCCCUAAUCCUUAUUUUUCGUCACAUAAUCUCAUAUAGGAUAAAGUUACCCUUCCAUUAUAUUAAUUUUUCAUUUAUUCUCUUUCCUUUCCCCUUUUUUCCCUACUACAUUUAUUUCUCUCUUGUUUUUUCUUCUCUCUUCCAUUAUUCCUAAUAGAUAACUUCAUCCCAAUACAAAACUUUAUUUGUAGUUUGUAAUUGGGUCUAUGGGUAAAGGUUGGAAAGACAACAAAAGCUAAUUUCAAUCUUUUGUACAAUGCCAUGCGUCGCAAAUUGUAAUUAUUGAUCAUUAAUCAAGUCACAAAUAUAUUUUGUGAUUUUUUUUUAGAAUAAAAUGAGAAACUAGGAUGGGAAGGUGAAAAAACAAAAAGAAUUGAAAAGUAAAAAAAAAAAGCUAUUUAAUUUGGGAAAGGAAUUUGCAUAUUUAAUGACCAUUUGAGAAGAAAAUAGAUCUUUGCAAUUUCCUUUUUUUUUUUAUUUUCAAUCACUGAGAUAAAGUUUUUUGUGGAAAAGCAGAAGAAGUAAAGAAAGAAUAAAGAGACAAAGAAAUAACGGAGAGAAAAAGGGGAAAAAAAUAAAAGAUAAGAAUCUAGAAUAUAGAGAGUUAAUUUUGUCCAAUAAGAGAUAAAGUGAGAUUAAAAAGAAGGUUAAGGAAAUUGAGAAUUGGGGUAAUCUGAAGGGGAUUAAUUGUGAUUAACCCUUUAAUAGUAUUUCCACUAACAAACUGAAAUUCCCAAAGAAUAUCAUUGUUGAGCACUUACACACACAUAUAUAAAUCGUGCAAAUUGCAUUGGUAGCACGCAAGCAAAAACUAGUUGUGUUUGACUACAUUAUAAUGGCUGUGAAUUGUUAUAUGAGUGUGAGAUUGAAGAAUUAAUAAAACUUAAGAGCCAUAAUUGUUAAAGCUUUAAUAAUCAAACUGUGACUUCUCAGUUAUAGAUGAAGUAUAUUAUCAAUUAGGUUGCAACUUUGUUGUUAUUUACCUUGAUAUGGUUCGAUUUCCAUAACUGAAAUUGAAGUUGGGCUAUAUUUUGAUUUAUAUUUUUAAGGUGCAAAAUUCUAGUUGCUAUUUCAUCAAGAGUUAGCCUUAUUAAAUAGGCCUACAAUGGUUGAACCCUGAUAAUGCAUGUAAACCUUUCACAGGGGCAAUCAUUUUCUCUUUCAUUUCCAGUUGUCCCUUAAAGCUCAGUAAAGAUGCUUUCGUAUUGUAAUGAGUAUGAAAUUGAUUAAACUAAUGAGAAUUUAUCUCAAGAGCAUGGACCAAGAACAUAUUUAUUUUCUUCAAUUUGGACUUUGUCAUGAGUACUUCAUAGAUUGGAUCUUAGUUGCCUAACAAUGAACUCUGUCUAUCAUUAUAUUGGGUUUAUUUGGAUUCAAAGUAAUUUGAAAAUUUAUUUAUUGUUCACUAUAACACUUUUUGUAAAGGCGACUGGAAAGAUAAAAAUACAGUCAUGAAACAUGUUUUAGAGAAUAAUAUACAUAACAUGGAUUAUCCCCAUUAUCAUUUCACCUCCGAGAUUGAUCAGCAUGGUUAAUACAAAUUUUAUGCAAUAGUUCUUGCAUCUGCUAGUUAUAUUAAACUAAACGUAGGAAACGUUUUCUUGAUUAUAUGAGACAAACUAAUUUUGUCUGUCUUAGCAAUUAGUGAUUGUUAAAAAUCUUCAUUGGAACUUUUGGCUCGAAGAAACCUUAAUGGAAAUUGCUGAAAAAGUUUUAGGAUUGCUACUUCAGCAAAAUAUAUAUCUAACCUUCCGUCUCUUCUUAUAUUGAGGGUAAAUUUUAUACACACUGGCAGUUUAUACACUAUCACUAUUGAAUCAACAAUAGGUGUGCAAAAGUUGGAGUUCAAAUUCAAAUUUUGCAUAGUUAUCAUUCAUUUAAUACUAUACACUAUCAGUGUAAGAAAGAUUAAUCCCUACAAUGUGAGAGCAAUGCUCCUUUUUUUUCAGACGAGAUCCUUUGUCCAUUAUAUCUGUCCAUUUUUCCCGUCCAAUACAAAACUACGUAGUUCCACUUAUUAAUAUUGCUGAUGUGGCACAUAAUAUUAAAUGCAUAUUUAGGGAAUGUUUGGUAAAUGGAUUACAAAUUCAAUUUUAGCAUGGAUGGCCUACUUUCUGAAUCAACAUGACUGCACGUAACUGCAACUCUGACAAACUCAAGGAUCUCGUCCUCAAAUACUUACCUAAUCUCAUCUAAAUCAUACGGCAUGAAAUUCUAAAGUAGAAGACUAUGGGUACAAUUAGAAUAUUAUUGAAUUUGAAACCCAUUUACCAAGCACCCCCUAAAUAUGUAUUCAAUGUUAUAUGCCACAUCAGCAGUAUUAAUAAGUGGAACUACGUAAUUUUGCAUUGAACAGAAAAAAUGAACAGAUAUAAUGGACAGAAGAUCCCGUUUGCUUUUUUUUUGGGAGAAUGAACAGAUCUUAAUUGAUUUCCCUUUUUCCUACCUGAAUAUUUUUGUCUUUUAACUUUAGAAUCUGAAUAAAAUUGAUCGCUUCUUGUCUAGCUGCUUGUAUGGUGAAGAAAAUUGAACUCUAAUUUUGGUAGUAAAAAAGAUCUGCAUUCUCAUUUUUAAUACUUGGGUUUAGCGAAAAGAACUUGAACCAAAAAAGGACAAAGGAUGUUUGUUGUAAGUUUUGCUAUUACACUCUUGGUACAUUAACAGAUCAGACAAAUUGUUGUCUCAUUUAUCAAGUAUACAAUCUCGUGAUCAAUAAACUAUUGCCUUUUAAUUGAGUUUAAUAAAAUCUAAGCUAACAAGUUAUCUACUUAUUCUGCUUAAAUAGUGCAAAUUACAUUAAUAGUUCACAAGCAAAAUUAAUGGUGUUUGAUUAUAAUUUAAUGGAUCUUAAGUAGUAUAGUACACUGCAAACCACUGACCUAUUUCGGAUUCUCGUUUAAAUUUUUGUGUCAACCCACUAACUCUUGAAAGUAACUUUUUACAUUUUUGGAUCCAACAAGGUGUUACGAGGGAGGAGGAAUAGUAAGUGAGGAUAGGGACCAAGGCCAACACAUUGUCAGAAUAAUCAUUUGGGGCGAUUUUUGUUCAAAACACACGGGAUAUAAUAUCAUUUGUUCAGAAUAUAAUUUACUUUUAACAACUUGUAAAUAUAGAACAAAAAUUUAUGAAAUCCCACGUGUGGGGAGGGACUGUCGUGACCAAACGAGCUGCCCAGGAGGGGCGUAUAACAAUAUGAUUUGAUUGUACACAAUCAAAAGUGUAACUGCUCAACAUUUAUUGUUUAAGUUCAUACAAGUUUACUUAUUUGUUUGUGCAUACACCGGUUGACGACUAUAGAGUCCUUAAUCCACUUUAUAUCUCUAAAUUUAUAUCACUUUUUCACUUUGUGCCCUAAACUUAAAUUUUAGACACUUAGCACCCUAAACUCUCAAGUUUUAUCCUAUUUUUGUCCAAUUAAUAAUUAAUUUUCCAAAAUUAACGAGAUAAAGAAUGGUAAAAAUUAAUGAAAAUAUACCAUUUUAUUCUAAUUACGAUGCCUUUGCUUUUCUGACCACUUUUAGCAUAUCAUCAUUGAUUUAUAUGAUUUCAAUUAUCAAUAUUGUUCGUAAAAUUAGCAAGAUAAAAGGUAGUGUAAAUUAAUGACAAUGUAUUAUUUUAUUUUUGCUAUGAAUUAGCACCUUAUGACUCCUGUCGGUACAUUGUCAUUGAUUCGCUGAGUCCUCUAUACCGUUAAUUUUGCUAACAUUGUUAUUGACUGGAUUAAUUGGAUAAAUUUGAGAGGAUGCAAAGUAUCCAAAAGUGAGAGUUUAGAGAGUAAAGUGUCUAAAAUUGAAAUUUACGAUUUAAAUUAGGAAAUGAUACAAGUUUAGAAGUACAUAGUGGAGUUAGUCCUCCCCAGUUAUGAGCUCUUAGCGCCCUUGACUGCAUGAACUUGACUUUAGUUUCAUUUGAGGGCUUUCAACGUCUUAUUAUUGUCUGUGGGAGUACUCCUGUCCCAGAUCAUGCUACUGGAAUAGAGAAUUUAAUCAGAUGGACCAGAGAUGUGGACCAGUUGAUUUUCAGUGUCUGCGAGCGUUGUUCACAUAUUUUCCGACCCAAGACAAGACCAUUGACUUCAUAUUUGCCCUCGUCAACUAAAAAUUGAUUGGCAUCCCCACUAAUUAAUUAUAAAGCUUAGAAAAAAAUAUUAAUGAUUCCAAACCCAAUUUUAAGUGCUCAAAGAAUAGUCUCUGGUGAUUGUAGAAAAGAUGCAAUCUAAUACUAACAUCCAUGUGUACUCGUCAAGCCUGUGAUCCCCAGUGGACAGUUUAGCCAAUGAUUCUAGAAAUUCAAGAUAUAUAUUGGUCAACUUAGAAUUUUCCUUGGGCAACUCAAAAUUUAAUAGUAGGGUUAAUUACAAUUAAUUCCUAUAAGGUAUACUUCAUUUCUCACUUUAUCCCCUAAUCCUUAUUUUUCGUCACAUAAUCUCAUAUAGGAUAAAGUUACCCUUCCAUUAUAUUAAUUUUUCAUUUAUUCUCUUUCCUUUCCCCUUUUUUCCCUACUACAUUUAUUUCUCUCUUGUUUUUUCUUCUCUCUUCCAUUAUUCCUAAUAGAUAACUUCAUCCCAAUACAAAACUUUAUUUGUAGUUUGUAAUUGGGUCUAUGGGUAAAGGUUGGGUCUAUUGAUCAUUAAUCAAGUCACAAAUAUAUUUUGUGAUUUUUUUUUAGAAUAAAAUGAGAAACUAGGAUGGGAAGGUGAAAAAACAAAAAGAAUUGAAAAGUUUAAAAAAAAAGCUAUUUAAUUUGGGAAAGGAAUUUGCAUAUUUAAUGACCAUUUGAGAAGAAAAUAGAUCUUUGCAAUUCCUAUUUUUUUAAUCUUCAAUCACCGAGAUGAGGUUUUUUGUGGAAAAUCAGAAGAAGUAAAGAAAGAAUAAAGAGACAAAGAAAAUAAAGGAGAGAAAAAGGGGAAAAAAAGAUAAAAAUCUAGAAUAAUAGAGGGUUAAUUUUGUCCAAUAGGAGAUAAAGUGAGAUUAAAAAAAAAAGGUUAAGGAAACUGAGAAUUGGGGUAAUCUGAAGGGGAUUAAUUGUGAUUAACCCUUUAAUAGUAUUUCCACUAACAAACUGAAAUUCCAAAAGAAUAUCAUUGUUGAGCACUUACACGCACACAUAUACAUAUGUGCUUAUAUGUAGUGCUUGAGUUUAAUUUAAAUUAGUUUCAUCCAAUCUCACUUUUGUGGAGUCUUGGAACCUCAAUCACUAGAGACUAUAUUGCCUUAGAAUCUCCAGAAACGAACUGAAAUUCUCAAAAGAAAAGCCCCUGAUUUUUUGAAACAAUUUAUUAGUUCCUAAAUUGAGCUUAUAAACUAAAACGUGAAAAACUAUCCUCGACUUACAAAUUCAUUUAUAAAAUUCUUGACUUACAAAUGAAAAAAAAAUAAAUAAAUCAAACAUGGAUAAGAAUUGUAGUUCCUCAAUUACUAGUCAUUCAUGUACAAGUUGUGGUAACUAUAAAAUUUUACAAUACUUUCACUCUUUCAUAUCUUAGGUUCGUUUGAUAAAACUGAAUCUGAAUUCUGAAGUCUGAAUUCUGAAAUCUAAAUACUGAAAUAAUUAAUUUGCUGAAUUUUAAGUACUGAAAAGAAAUAUAUGAAUGUCUGAAUUUUAAUGCUAAACUUAUUUAUACUGUUUGAUAAAUAUUUAUAACUGAAUGCUUAAUAAGUUUAAUUUGACAAUUUUACCCUUAUAUCUUUUCAUCCAAAAAAUAAAUAGAACCUAUGAUUUGAUUAGCUCAAAAUUAUUAGGUAUAAAAAUGACAAUAUUUAUUUUUAAAUCAAAUUAAUAUAAAAGAUAAAAUGUAUUAUAUGAGAAGUAUAGAGAAGAUGUGAAAGUCAUUAAAAAUGAAUAAAAGAGAAACAGAAAACCGUUAGAUAGAGAAUAUCAGGUUAUUUAAUUAGAUAAGAAUUUUGAACAUAAUUAACAAAUAAGGGUAGAUUUGGUAGAUAAGAUAAGGUAGUUGAAAUAAUUCUAUUGAUUCUUAUUAGAAUUAAGCAUUCAGUUAGAAUUUUUGUGCUGAAAAAAAUAUACACAGGUUCAGUACUGCUUAACAAAUUCAGCAGAUGGAUUUUCAUUUAUCAAACACUCACAACAUCUGAAUGUCUGAAAAAGGUUCAGUUUCAGCACUUUUUUAUGUUAUCAAACAGGCCUUUAGAACAGAUCAGACAAACCUCUGUCAUAUUUGUCAACUAUAAAAGCUUGUCAUCAAUAAACUAUUGCCUUUAAAUUGAGUUGAAUAAUCUACAUAGUCUAUAUAAAUCGUGCAAAUUGCAUUGGUAGCACGCAAGCAAAAACUAGUUGUGUUUGACUACAUUAUAGUGGCUGUGAAGUGUUAUAUGAGUGUGAGAUUGAAGAAUUAAUAAAACUUAAGAGCCAUAAUUGUUAAAGCUUUAAUAAUGAAACUAUGACUUCUCAGUUAUAGGUGAAGUAUAUUAUCAAUUAGGUUGCGACUUUGUUGUUAUUUACCUUGAUAUGGUUGGAUUUUCAUAACUGAAAAUGAAGUUGGGCUAUCCUUUGAUUUAUAUUUUUAAGGUGCAAAAGUCAAGUAGCUAUUUCAUCAAGAGUUAACCUUAUUAAAUAGGCCUACAAUGGUUGAACCCUGAUAAUGCAUGUAAACCUUUCACAGGGGCAAUCAUUUUCUCUUUCAUUUCCAGUUGUCCCUUCUCUUGUACUAGUAAGACUUUUAUGUAUUGCUUGAAAUAAUCCACUCAAAUUACAAUUUAACGUUUUUUGAGUUGAAAUUUGAAUACAAACUGAAAAGGCUAAAUUAGUAGUCUCUAAAAAAUGCUAAAACAAACACGUCUAAUUAUAAUAUAUUUUCUUGAAUAAUUGCACAAGAACAUGAUAGUAUUGCAUGUUGAAAUUCUUAUCCUAGUUACUACUUUAUUUAGUCAAAUAUAUGGUUGAAUAAUUUUCCUUUUCAUUAUAAUGUUUUAUCAAUCAACAAGAUGCUUUAAGCUGCAUAUAGACAUGAUACUCAAUUAUCAAAAAGUCGUAAAGAGUAGCUGACAAGAGUAUAUUUGACCUGUUUUAACUGUGUUUUAUUAUUUAGUUUUGGUGUGUUUUAAUUUUAUAGCUAAUUAACUAAGAUUCUAGUGAAAAUAUACAUUUUGUGGUUUAAAUGGUAAAAAUUGCAUUUCUAUGAAUUUUUAUGGCAAAAACUUCAUGUUUUGUAGGAUUAAGGAUUCAAUCAUCAAAUGGCAUGAAUUGAGAAUAUAUUUGGAUAAUUGAUGAUGAUUUGAAGUGGUUUAAAGAGAAUAUGAAUUGCAAAAGAGGAAAUGCAAUCAAGAACAAAAGGAAGCAAGUUUCACAGCUUUGACACCUUUGUGGUAUUUUAGAAGUAUCCUGAGUGACAAGCAUUGGAUUAAGGUGAUUCUUAAACCUUUUUGAAGUUGAGAGAUAGAUCUACAUUUGGUAUGAGACAUCGAAGUCCAGAUCAGUUGUUUUCCUUGUCAAAAAGUCGAAAUACAGAAGCGCAAAUUCUGUGGUCGUAAGCUGAAAUAGAGCUCUGACAAGUUUUUGGUAUUUUGAUCAUAUCUCGAUCCACAGAGCUCCAAAUUGGAUGAUUCUUGAGGCAUUGGAAAGCUAACUCAAAGGGCUACAACUUUCAUGUUUUGUACAAGAGUUGGUUCGGCCUUCAUCAUUAACAAAAUAGUAGUUGAAGUAGUGCAGAAGUGAAAACGCGACUCAAUGAAUACGUGGCUUGAGUUGCGUAUUCUCAAGUCACGUAUUCUCACCUGUUUUCUGCAAUUUGCUCACCAACUUGCCUUGUUUUCACACAACUUUUCCAACUCAAUUCCAGCUAGCAAUUCCGGUUGUAUCUGACCAAGAAAAGGCUGGAAAGUUGGAGAAACAACUCAAGAGAGUUUCAAGAGUCAAUUUUGACAACUAGAAACAACUCAUAUUAAGCUUGAAUUCUCUAUAAAUAGAGGCCUUUGGAGAACAUUUUCACAACUUUGGAAGGUUAGAAAAACUCACAAAAAUGUGGUCUUCACUAGUUUUUCUUAGUUCAUUAGUAUAGAAUAGUUAGUGUAGUUUAUCCAUCUUGUAUUUGUAGCUAUAUUUGGAUGAAGAUUGGAGGAGCAAAGAUGGAAAGUUUGAAACUCAUGUGACAAGGGUGACAUCUCUCCUACCACUUUCUCUUGUGUAUUUGAUUUCAUGUUUAACUAUAAUACAAGUUUGGACCUUAUUUUCAUGUUUAAUUAAUGUUUAUGCCUAGAGUUAUGGUUGAACUUGCUAUAUCGUGCUUGUGAUGUUUAUUUGGUUAUUUGAUGAUAUUAUUUUGAACAAGUUAUUUAUCACUUUUGCUUUUCUAAUCAUGAUUAAUCGGCCAUUAAUUGUGAUUAUCUAAAGGUAUUAAGUUUACAAUGAGAAUUGGAAUUUAACACUAGUUCAAGGAAGUGAUAAAUUUAGGAAGUACACUCACGAGAGUAGAGGUGCACCUAUGUGACUUAAGUGACUUGUUUCAUAUAAUUUCAUAGAAGAAAUGAGCUUGUAGUUAAUUCAUAACCACGAGAGUAGGUAUGGCUUAAUUACAAGUAUAGUUGAUUCACUACGAGAGUAGGUUUCACAUGUAUAAGGAAAUUACGCCAUAAUUAGCCAAGAUAAUAGCAUUCACUUAACCGGUAAUCUCAUUUGCAAGAGUAGUAAGGAAUUCCAUAUCUCUAGGGGCUUUCUAGUGUAUUUUUUAUCACUUUUAUAGUAUAGAUUUAAUUUCUUAUACUUGUGAUAGUCUAAAUAAUAAAAGAGUUUGAAAAAAACCAGUAAUUGCACUCUUCCCUGUGGGAUCGACCCUUAAUACCCUAUACUCGCUCAGGAUUCGUAUACUUGCGAUAAAUCGCGUGUGGGGUAUUUAGAAAUUUAUAAAUGUAAAACUUGAUUGUGGAUGAGUUUAUUGUAUAUGUAUAUCCCGUGCACAUUAAGUUUUUGGCACUAAGAUUUGUCAAUAUCGGUGCUAAGAGUAACUUUAUUAAUUUAGAUAAUUUUUCUUGUUUUUGUUGGGUCAAGUGUCUUGUUUGUUAAGUUUAGUGUCUUUUCGAGUCUUUGUUUGUGUUUUGUUUGUAUGUUUAGAGUCAUCUAUUCUCUUUGACUAAACUUGUUUUUAAGUUACUUUGAAAGCAUGUUUAGGGGUUCAAGGAGAGUAGAAAACAUGGGAGAGCAAUACUUGAGAAGUGAAAGAUCGGCAACGGAUGGUUAUUAUGUACAAAGCUCCUUCAAUAGAAGUAACCAAGAAAUUACCGAAGGUAUGUCAUUUGAAGAUGGUUUAAGGAGUUUAAAGGCUAAACUUGAUAUUAUAACAUUACAAAUUCAAAUGGACACUUUUAUGCAUGAAAUUGAGCAAAAGAGGAAUAUUAAUGCUUUUAAUUCUUAUCAUAUGAUUUGUGACUUGUAUGGAGGUUAUCAUGCUAAUCAUACAUGUAGACAAGCACAAAAUGUGGAUUAUUUUGAUGAAUUAGGGCAUUACAAUCCUUGUUUUGAUCAAUUUGGAGCUUAUUGGGGUAAUUCUUAUGCUUACGGUUGGGAUAAUCAAUAUGUAUAUAGCGAUUCUUCAUGUUCUUAUGAUUACCAACCCGAAUGUGUCCAAUAUGAAUCUAAAUCAUCUUGGGAAUUGGCAAUUGAGAGGUUAGUUAAUGCACAUUCACUUUCAGAAUUAGAAAGUGAACUAUUAGCUAACGAUUCUAAGCCAUCUUGGGAAUUAGCUAUAGAAAAGUUAGCAAAUGCAACCUCCGACCAUUUUGAUAGGGUUGAGGAAAGAUUAGAUGAAUUAGCUCUCACUUUGGUAGAAUACAAGAACAAUUACAUGUUUUAUGUGAAGUUAUUUCUUCUAAUGAUAUGCACUAUGACCCUAACAUGAAUGGUGAGCAUUGCAAGUGAAAGUGGAUUGUAUUUUGAUGAAAAUGAUGAAUCUAAUGUGUGUUUCAAUGAGAAAAUGUCUAUUUUACAUGAUAGUACCUUUGAAACUAACCUUGAACCUCAAGAGAUGAGCCUUAAUGACUCAUUUUUCACCUCUCUUAAGGAAUGUGUUGAGAGUAUAGGUUUUAAAGGUAUUCUUGCCCAAGAAGAUCAAAUGGACGUUCCUGUGGUGAGUUCUCAAGUGGUGCACAUUCAAGGUAAUAUCUAUGAAACACUUGAAAUAGGUAAGUCACUUCUGCCUCUCACAUCUUUAGAACAUGUGGCUUUUACUAUAAAGUCACCUCUUAAUGAUCCACCAUGACCUAAAAUGGUGGAUUAUUCAUUAACAAAGCCUCCUUGAGAAAUGAGGUUCAAUAGUCGAGCCAACAACUAUAAACAAAAGCGCUUGUUGGGAGGCAACCCAAUGUUUUAGUACUUUAUGUUAAUUUGGUGUGAUUUUAGGUUUAAAUUAUGUGUUUGAGUUAUGUUGUUGUUUUUUAUUUGUAGGUAUUGGAAAUAGAAGCAAAAGUGACUAAAUGAGGUGAAAAAGGCGAAGUUCAAUCAAAGAACUCAGCCCCUUGAUUUGUGUUAAAGGUGUAUUUGAUCCUUUAAAAAGGGGUAAAAUGCAUGUUUUGAUCGUUUUACAUGUGCGUGCAUUGAUAAUUUUGGCAAAAGAAUGAUCUAUGAUGCAUUUUGAGUAAUUGGGGUAACAUGUGUAAUUUUCCAAAGUUGGCAUUUCUGCAAAAAUUUGCACCAGAAAACGUGGAUGACUUGAAAACGCUCUAUCGAGCCACGUUUUACAUGAGCCACGUUUUCAAUUCUGCAAUUUUUGUACAGAAAGCGCGGCAUGAAAACGCUUCAUCAAGCCAUGUUUUACACGAGCCACGUUUUCAAUUCUGCAAUUUUUGUAUAGAAAACGCUGUUUGAAAACACUCCAUCGAGCCACGUUUUACAUGAGCCACGUUUUCAGUUAUGCCCAGAAGGAAGAAAACGUGUCUCACACAAAACGUGGCUCGAAGGCAUGUUUUGUCAAGUCAUGUUUUGCCUUCUUGUCCGAAUUCUAAAAACGUGAGAUCUGAUUCAUUCUUCAUUAUUCUUCUUUUCCUUAUGUAUUCCCUUGUACCUUGAAUAGUUUAUUGUGUAUUUUCUAUAGGUACAUCACCACCACAAAGGUUUAGGAGUUACGAAUCGCCGUUAUAUGUUUAUUAAUGUCUUUGUUAUCAUCUUUGUUUCUCAUGUUUCAUUUUUAGGUUUAUAUCACUAAUGGUUAUCCAAUGGAACUCAUGAAGUGUUGGAGAUACACGUACAAUGGAUCUUGAAGCUUCAUAUUCAAUCGCAACAAUAGGGGAGUAUUACUUUCUUUAUCUUGGUUUCCCUUUUUACACAUUGAGGACAAUGUGCAUGUUAAGUGUGGGGAGGAGAAUUGAGAUUGUAUGCAUUGUAUGUGAUUGACUUGUUGAUUCCAAAAUUGCAAAAUUACCCAAAAAGUUUCAAAUUAUUUCAAUUUUAUCCAAUGGGUAACCAGUUCCAUACCAUUAGUAGUUCAAAUUCCUUCUACUUUUGAGAUAAAUAUAUGUGAUUUAGAAACCUCUUUUCUCAAUUAACUUGGAAAUGACUAUUAUGUGAUUAUAAUUUGUACAUUUAUAGGAAAGUAUAUCUUUUAAAGUGGAGAAAAUUAUGCCUAUAUUUUGCAUAUUCAAUGAAAUUUUUUCUCUUUAUUUGAUUUUAUAAAAUAAGUGAUAAAUAUGGUCAAUAAAUGUAGCACUCUUCUCAUGAUUAUUCUUUUGAGGAAAUAUUUAUUAUCUUUGCUUAAAAAAAGUAGAAAAAUAAAAAAAUAAAAAAAGAAAAAAGAAAAAAACAGAAUAAGAGUUGUUCUAUUUCAAUGGUUCUUGUGCUUAGUAAUCGGGAGUCUUCAUCUACAAAUGUCGACUUUCGCAUAAAACGGUACUUGAAUUAAGAGUAUGCAACGCAACUAGAGUAUGUGAAGUGUUGAGUAACCGGUGAUCUUCAUCUAAAAAUGUCGAUCUUCGCGUAAAAAGGUACUUUCACAAUUUAAGUAUAUAUUUAGCUAAAUUAUAUGAAUAAAUCCCUCUCUAAGUUGAACAAAAAGAUGAUCAUGGGAUUAGAUAGCAUUUUUAUUAAUCAUAUGACUUACUUGCUUGUGAAAUAGGUGAAGAUGAGAAAUUGAAUUGAACUAGUAUAAUUAGGGUAUAAUUAGCUCUCUUUUACUUGAUAUUAUGAGUACUUGAGCUUAAUUGGAUGAUUGUAUAAUGGUUAUUUGCCUUAUUUUUUAGGAAAUGAAGUUGAAUGGUACACAUAUGUUUAUUUUCAAAGUAUUGGAUCAUUGUUGGUUUGUAUUUCUUAUUGCUUGAGGACAAGCAAUGGUUCAGUAGCAUUUUCUUUCUUUUUAUUUUACCUUUUUUUUUUGUUUGAACAACAAACAGACAUAAUUUCAUAACUUGAUAACAAACGUUGCAUCAUGCUAGCUUGGACAGCUUUUUCAUGUGCUACAGCCACUUGAUUGUUAACUACAUUGACUAAUAAUAACUUUGCAAAUGAAUAGAAAGUUAGGAACCAUUAAUAAUAUUGAUGUCAUGGAGAAUGGGUCUUACAGUUGGAGGUGCAUUAUGGAUUUGAGCCUGAUAUUCCAGAAGCAAUAAAUUAAAACAGUCCGUUGAGAUCGUUGAUGAGGAUAGAAGAAUGGGAAGUCCAUUGUACCCACUUGGUAGAAUCCAGACAAGUUUGCUCUUCAACUAUUUGUUGUCUCUACUUCUAAAACUCUUUUCGAAAAACAGAUGGAUAAUUCUUGAAACAACAUUGAAUUGAAGUUCGAUGUACGAGACAACAAUAAUAUCUAUUAGUAUGUCUUUAAGAAUCACUAAUACAACACUGUUACAAUUGGUCUUAUAUUAGAGGAAAGAGGAGGCAGAUGAACCUAUCUAAUCUAUUAAGAGGUUUGAAGAAUGUUAAAUAACCUUCUACCAGAUACCAAAAUAUUUUAGAGAGAAAAUGCAAUCAAGAAUUCAGCCCCCUAACCUACGCCCAGGGAAGGACUUAGUUCCUCUUUCGAUGGCCAACUGAGAUCAAUUGGUUUAGUAUUUCUUUAAGAAGAGACAGAAGGUUAUAUAUAUAAUGUUGAACUAGCAACCCUAAAAGCUUUCUCAGCAAUUUCCGUCAAGGUUUCUUCAUGCCAAAAGUUGCAAUGAAUAUUUUUUAAUAGCCACUAAUGGCUAAGAUAAACAAGAUUAGCAUGUUUCAUGGAAUCAAGAAAAGCUUCCUAAAUCAAUCGUUGGGGUUGGCUUAGUAGCCAAGGGAGGACUCUUGGAGUUCUGCUCGUUGUCAGGUUCAAGAUUCAAAUCUUGAAUUUGAUAGUUGAGGGUGGGAAGAGUCUGGAAAGGGUUGGAAGGUUAAAAAAGGAAAAAACUGCAUACACUAACGAAAAGCUUCCUAAAUCUAGUUUAAGAUAACUAGCCGAUGCAACACUAUAGCGAUAGGAGAUUAUUUGAAAUAACACUAUAGAAUUUUUUAUGAUAUGAUAUAUAUUAUAUAAAAAGAUGGUUAAAAGAGUAAAAAGUUGGUUAAAAAAGUGUUUAUGAAACAAGCCAAAAAAAUAUUUUAAAAAGGAUAAAUUACAUAUAAUCUCCUAUAAUUUUGAAUAAUGCCAGAUGACCCUUUAAGGUUUUAAAAUAGCCACAUAAUCUCCUGUGGUUUUGUAUAAAGUGAAAAAUGUAUGGAAUGCAUAAUCAGUUAUGGAAAUAAGAUCACACGCACACCAAAAGUGGGUGUGAUGAAAUCAUAAUAUUCACUUAACCCCCUAUAAUUUGUAUAAAUAUCUACUUUAUCCCCUGUAAUUUUUGUAUUUAACCAUGUAAUAUCCCUAUAGUUUUGUAUAAGAUGGCUAAGAAAGUUGAGCCAAGAUUAGUGAAGAAACUCCCAAUGAUCUUCUAUUUCUUCAACAAAAUAAGUUGUUUAAUGAAGUCUCCAAUUGUUCUCAUAAAAGUUCUAGCUAGAAAGAACAAAACAAGACCAACCACUAAGCUCUAAUUCUAAAAUCUGAUGAGAACCAAUUUGUUUAGGAGAAACACCUCGCGAGAGUCCACCAAAGAAUUCAAUAUGUAAGUUAGAAACCCAACUCUUGAUCCAAAAAUUUAAACGACUAGAUCUCGGACUUUUACUUAUAUAUUAACCGCUCUUUUGUUAUCUCUCGGACUAAUGUGGAAUAUAAUCUUUUACUCAUGAACUUAACAAUUUUGGCUAAACAUAUAUCUCAUUACAAAAAGUAUUAUAGUGAACAAUAAACAAAAUUAUGUAAAUUACUUCGAAUUCAAACCCAAUUAAUCAUACACAUUGAUUUCCUUGUUAGGCAACUAUGAUUCAAUCUAUCACGUACUCACGACAAAGACCAAAUUAAAGAAAAUAAAUAUGUUUCUUGAUCCAUGCUUCUGAGAUAAAGUCUCAUUAUUUUAAUCCAUUUCAUACUCAUUACAAUAGGAAAGCGUGUCUGUGCUGUGCUAGAACUUUUUUACUGCCUCUCAAUGUCGUCAUCAAGAAGUAGUACAUACUUUGUAUGACCAAUAUAGGAAAAGAUCUUCAAACGAUUUAUUCUAGUACAUGUUUGAAACUUGGAUUUAGUUUCAGAAUUAUUCUAGUAUAUGUUUGAUACUUGAAUUAGUUGAAACUGAUUCCAUACUUAGACUGUUGAUUUGGAAAAAAGAGGCCAAAAUGUCUCUCUGUCUCUGCUCCAGGCUUCUGGUUUUCAUCAAACAUGGCAAACAGAUAAGUUUCUAUACCUCUUCCAGGCCUCCUUGGAGUCCCUUGUCCACUCUUAACAUGGCUAAUCACGUUCCUAUAGUAAGUGCCUGCAUUUCCAAAUGAUGCAGCAGGAGGAUUCCCAUCCGAUGGCCAGCCAGUUUCCGACACAACAAUGUUGACAUUAGAACCACCUUCUUUAUCUAGAGCUGAAUAAUGAGCAUCCAAAAUUGCAUAAAAAAUGUUUUGAUAUCCAAACGAGCCAUCUUGAACAACAGUUCUUUGUGAGGUGAAUAAUGCAUAAUCGAGAUGAAUGUUGACUGGAUCACCGAUAUAGCUG
rnacentral:lncRNA from 1 species